rnacentral:tRNA from 1 species
UUUUAAUAGCUUAUAUUUAGAGCAUAAUACUGAAGAUAUUAAGGAGGAAAUUUUUCUUUAAAAUA